AACGAACGCUGGCGGCAGGCUUAACACAUGCAAGUCGAACGGACGUAGCAAUACGUUAGUGGCGCACGGGAGAGUAACACGUGGGAACCUACCUUUUGGUUCGGAAUAACGUCGGGAAACUGACGCUAAUACCGGAUAAGCCCUAUGGGGGAAAGAUUUAUUGCCAAAAGAUGGGCCCGCGCUAGAUUAGCUUGUUGGUGAGGUAAUGGCUCACCAAGGCUACGAUCUAUAGCUGGUCUGAGAGGAUGAUCAGCCUCACUGGGACUGAGACACGGCCCAGACUCCUACGGGAGGCAGCAGUGGGGAAUAUUGGACAAUGGGGGAAACCCUGAUCCAGCCAUGCCGCGUGAGUGAUGAAGGCCUUCGGGUUGUAAAGCUCUUUUGGAGGGGACGAUGAUGACGGUACCCUCAGAAUAAGCUCCGGCUAACUUCGUGCCAGCCGCCGCAGUAA
rnacentral:rRNA from 1 species